rnacentral:rRNA from 1 species
GAUGAACGCUGGCGGCGUGCCCAAUACAUGCAAGUCGAGCGAAUGGAUUAAGAGCUUGCUCUUAUGAAGUUAGCGGCGGACGGGUGAGUAACACGUGGGUAACCUGCCCAUACGACUGGGAUAACUCCGGGAAACCGGGGCUAAUACCGGAUAACAUUUUGAACCGCAUGGUUCGAAAUUGAAAGGCGGAUUCGGCUGUCACUUAUGGAUGGAACCACGUCGCAUUAACUAGUUGGUGAGGAAACGGCUCACAAAGGCAACGAUGCGUAGCCGACCUGAGAGGGUGAUCGGCCACACUGGGACUGAGACACGGCCCAGACUCCUACGGGAGGCAGCAGUAGGGAAUCUUCCGCAAUGGACGAAAGUCUGACGGAGCAACGCCGCGUGAGUGAUGAAGGCUUUCGGGUCGUAAAACUCUGUUGUUAGGGAAGAACAAGUGCUAGUUGAAUAAGCUGGCACCUUGACGGUACCUAACCAGAAAGCCACGGCUAACUACGUGCCAGCAGCCGCCGUAA